AGGAUCAUUAAUGAAUAAACUUUGAGGAUGUUGCUGGCUUUGUCUUUUGGGAUGAGGCAGGUGCACUCCUCGGAUAUUCUUUUGACCACCCUUUCACAAACCAUGUGCACCCUCUGUAGGUCUGGCCUUUUGUUCCAAACCUAUGUUUUAGCCAUCUGCUCCAUGGAAUGUCAUUUGAAUGUUGAAUCUUCUUUGAUAAUACACAACUUUCAACAAUGGAUCUCUUGGCUCUCGCAUCGAUGAAGAACGCAGCGAAAUGCGAUACGUAAUGUGAAUUGCAGAAUUCCGUGAAUCAUUGAAUCUUUGAACGCACCUUGCGCCCCUUGGUAUUCUGAGGGGCAUGCCUGUUUGAGUGUCAUUGUAAUCUCUCAACUUUGGUCUUUGGUUUCUUAACCCAAGGCCCAGAGUUUGGAUGGUGGAGGUGUGCUGGCCGCCCCCCGUGGAGGGGUCAGCUCCUCUGAAAAGAAUCAGCAAAGGGAAACGUACCUGUUCCUGCAUCUCGUGCUUCUGGCAUUGAUAAUUGUCUAUGCCUGUUGUGGCUCACAUGCCUUUUGGAUCGGGCGAGCGUCUUUGCUUACAGUUGUCCUUUGGACAUUUUUGACAAAUCACCUCAAAUCAGGUAGGACUACCC
rnacentral:rRNA from 1 species